CUCAAGUCAAAUUCAUUCAUCAUAUUAUUUAGUUGAUAGAACGAGAGAGAAUACAAAUCUAAAAUUGAUCUAGAAAUCUUGUCCAGAGCUUUGUAUUCUAACAAGCAGAUCCUAUAAAAAAGAAAUCAGAUCCUUCUUGUUCUUGCUGGAAUACAGGGCAACAAAAAAGGAAAUAUGCAUUUUGCCUAAUCGAUCUGCUCUGCUGCAAAAGAAUCCUUUCUUCCACACUUGCUGCCAUAUUGUUACUCAACAAGAAGCCGCCUUCUUAUCUGCAGCAUUUAGCCUCAAGUUUGACGGCCAAGCCGCAUCGAAUUUCACUUCAAAGUUCGAUCACACCAGCAAACAAUUCCGAUGACUAUUUCAUUGUCCUUCCCAGGAUGAGAGCCAAUGUAGCAAAUCUCAAAUAUAUAAUUUAUUCAGGUAGACGUCAACUGGUAAUUUGAUAAAUAUUCACCUUUUUUUUUUUCGCCUUUUCUUCAUGACCAUUUUUUCCAACUUCUUUUCAGUCUUCCUUUUUUCCCCUGAUAGAAAUGUAGCUUGUCUUCCCCUUUCUUCCAUCUUUUCUUCAUGAUCAAUGUUAGCAUAAAAGCAAUGUAACCUGCCCACAGAAAUUCAAGCCAAAGCUCACCAUAUGCAACAUCAAACUUGAACCAUGAAUCAAGCCGCAGGAAGAGCUAGUCCAACAAGUAGAGGAAUACUACACAUGGUAACCAUGGAUUUCAAAGCCUGCCACAACCCUACAUUUGAAGCAACUAUUUGACAUUGCGAAAGCAUGUCAAUAGACCAUAGCCAUGGGCAUAUAGGAUUUACUUUUUAUUCACCAUAAAAGCAGAACUUGUAUGUCAUCUCUCUAGGAACAACUGUCUCCCCAGAAGAGGAAGUGCCCUUCGCUUCUGGUGUUGUCUCCUGACAACUUAGCAGCUUCUUCAAACAAACCAGACAAAUAAAGUCUAGACAGAAGGUCUCCUCAUAAUCGCAAUCCUUAAUGCAGGAUCCACAAUUGAUACAACGUGCUAUGCACAUAGUGCAGGCCCUACAUGAUUGAUUAGCUUGAUCUUUCCCUUGGCAACUCUCUGCUGGACAAUCAUAAACCAGUCUCAAUUUCUGACACUUGGGGCAUGUCUCAAUGUCAAUGGCACAAUCAUCAUCAGAAGAGAGAUAAAACCGUCCUAGAUGAUAAAACCGUGGUUUGUUUGCUUUCAGUUGCAUGUGUUUAUCUGCUCCAAGUAUGGACUUCAACUCUUCAAACUGCUUUUCUGUUACACCAGAAAGCCCGCCAAUUCUCAAGUGUUUUAUUCUCAGUGUUCCUGCUGACUUGAGAACCCUCAGGUUAAACAAGAUACUGUUAACACUGAGUCUCACACAUCCUGGCACACAUAACUGCAGGAAAAAAAGUAUAAAUUUGACAUCAGAAAGCAGGAACAUUAUACAGAUUGGAUCCAAAGCUAUAGGCUAUAAAUAAAACAAGCACAAUAAGAUAAGGAAAUCAGCAAUAAGAAUUACAAAUGCAAUAAGAUAUUCAUUUUGUUGUAAUUUCAAACAGACAUCGAAUAAAUUAAAUUGAGAACCCAUAUAUAGUAUAAUGAUGUCACUAGCAUGUCUGUCAGAAGAGCAGUAAUAGUGCAAGAUUUUUAUGGAAAGUGAUUUUUACUGCUUUGGAAGUGUACCUACUGGUCAUAUGAUUUGAAUAGUAGUCAUGUGAGAUUUUAUAUUUUACAUCCAAAUCCAUUUUCAAUCUCUAUUUAGUUUCUAGUUUUAUCUGUGCAAGGGAGAAAAAGGCUAGUUAUAGAAAAGAUUUUAAAAUGUUGUAGCACUUUUAAAAAUCUAUCAUCUAGGAGCAAAUAUAGAAAAAAAAAAUGACAAACCAAGAAAGUAUAAAAAAAAAAAAAUUGAAAAACAAAAUCCUGAUGCUUUGAGGCAACUUAAGCUUGACACACACAAUCUAACAAUUUCCAACAAUCUUUUAGUCCUUUUCCCUUCUCCACCAACACUUCUACAAUGUUUAUAAAACAAUAAGCACAUAGUAAGGUGGUGAAACCUAUGGCCAGCUAUCCAAGAUAAGUUCUCACCAGCUACUCAUCGUAAAAAAGAGAACUUUAUGCCAAGAUUGUGUCCGUUUUGUGCAGUAACUUGUUUAUCUUCCAAUUACAAAACUAUUAAAUUUUUCAUCUAAACCACCAAGACAGAAGGUUAUACAUGUAUCUCCUUACUCAGUGCUUUAAAAUACUAACAUAGAAAGAGAACCCAAUUUUGUACCCAUCUCACAUGAAGAAUUUGCUCUUUUUAGGCCCAUCCACCCAAGAUAAAUGUUCACAAAAAGGUGGCAAAAUCCUUAAAAUAAGAUGUGUAGCAUACUUAGCUGAGUGAACAUAAUGAAUCUUUAAAUUUGUCAUCAUUAAGGGUAUACUAAACAUAGCCAAUAAUAGAUAGAUAUAGAGAGAACGAGAGGUGAUGCAAAUGCUCUCAAAUUAACCAACCAAUAACUAUAUAUAGAGUGAGAUGUCACUUCUAAUUUGCAUGGAAUGUAAAAAAAUUGCCAAUAUGUACCAAAGCAAAUAGAAUAAGAUUGCUGAUUCUAAUUUCAAACUUCAAAUUUAAAAAUUAAUUCAAUUGCAAUCAUUGUGCGUAAAAUUUUGAAUUAAAAAAAAUAAAUUAUCACAUCAAAAUUCAAAUGCAUGAUGCAGUAAACUUAGUCGUUUUGUUAUGCUAAUAUUACCUAAAGCACAAUGAUCGAUUGCCAAAAAAAGAAAUCCAUAGAAAUUGACAGAGUAUUUCAAUUUGACAUCCAACAAUUCUUGAUCUACACGAAAGCAUCUCAAAAAGAGAAAGUUCAUCCACGAUAAACAUGCAUACAACACAACAACCCUUAAUUCUAAAGAUUUAUUAAAGAAAGCUUAAUACGCCAGAAAUACUGACCUUGGUUAACUUCGGAUUGCUUUCAAGCACUUCCUUCAACCCAUUGUCAGUUAUUUUAAUGCAUUCCACUAGACUCAAGCAUUCCAUAAUACCUUGAGCCCUAUUAGUUAAUUUGAUAAGAGACUCAUCAGUUAUUUUCACGCUUAGCGGCUGAUCUAUAUGAAUACUCUUCCACAGGAGAGAAUCGCCUCUAACAGCAUUCCGCAAGGAUCUGCAGACCCUC
rnacentral:misc_RNA from 1 species